UACAGAGACUGCAAGCGUUAUUCGGAUUCACUGGGCGUAAAGGGCUCGUAGGUGGCCAACUAAGUCAACCGUGAAAUCCCUCGGCUUAACCGGGGAACUGCGUUUGAUACUGGAUGGCUUGAGUUUGGGAGAGGGAUGCGGAAUUCCAGGUGUAGCGGUGAAAUGCGUAGAUAUCUGGAGGAACACCGGUGGCGAAGGCGGCAUCCUGGACCAAUACUGACGCUGAGGAGCGAAAGCCAGGGGAGCAAACGGG
rnacentral:rRNA from 1 species